rnacentral:rRNA from 1 species
UACAGAGGUCUCAAGCGUUGUUCGGAUUCAUUGGGCGUAAAGCGCACGUAGGCGGUCUGUUAUGUCGGAUGUGAAAGCCCUCGGCUUAACUGAGGAAGUGCAUCCGAAACUGGCAGGCUAGAGUACUAAAGAGGGUCGCGGAAUUCCCGGUGUAGAGGUGAAAUUCGUAGAUAUCGGGAGGAACACCGGUGGCGAAGGCGGCGACCUGGGUAGAUACUGACGCUGAGGUGCGGAAAGCGUGGGGAGCAAACAGG